rnacentral:lncRNA from 1 species
AAAUGCAGGGCUCCAUUUGUAUAUGGACAGCUUUUGUAAAGGAGUUUAAGCUAAGGAGAAAGGUAAUUGAGAAGGUGAGCGAAAGAAAGACCUAUUGAAGCAGGGAUAUUUGGGGGUUGGAGGCAUUUCUGUAGUGUUUUUGUGUUAUUCAUAGCCUUUCUCCUCAAGGGGAGCACACUUGGCCCUGACAGCAGGCCAGAGCUCAUCUGGUUACACUUCUUUCCCUGCCUUGUAGGAGAUUAUAUGGGAAGGAACUCCUCCAAGUCAGGGAUAAGUGAUUUGUUUCCUCUGUCUGUUAGGUUCUUAGCAUCCCUGAGCUGGAGGAAACUUCGAGACCACAGAGUCACAUGCUGCCCUUUACAGGGAGGACGAUGCUGUGCCUGGGUGUCUGCACCAGGAAGGGGUGAAGUUAGACUGGUGUUUCUGGAGCCGUCGUGGACGCCGGAAGGAAGGAUGGUGUGCUCUUCAGACUCCUGCUGGGCCUCUAGCUGUGAAAAAGGAACCUGGAAUUGUUCCCCAGGAAGCUCCUCUUUCCAAACCCGAGAGAUGAGGAACGUUGCUGUGCACAAGGACAUGCCUGCCAGUGCUCUUCUCCAUGCUGUUCCCAUGACUGACAUGACCUUGCCCAACUGCAUCUACAGAGGUCCUUCUUCAUUCCUGGUUCAUUUGACCUGGAGCAUAGAUAUCGAUGAAGAUAACAGAAAAGUCAUAAUUGUCUCUAAAGGAUACCCAAGACAAACUGGCUACUGAAUGAUGUCAGUUUGGAUUUUUUUGUUUGUUUGUUUGUUUUUUAAUUUUAGCCAUUUGUUACUGUGAAAAAA